GCUUCUGCUGCUGCAGCGGCAGUGGCGGCGGGCGGCGGCAGGGGCGGCGGCGGCGGCGGCGGCCCGCACCAGCCAUGCCGAAUAAAAACAAGAAGGAGAAAGAACCACCAAAACCGGUGAAAAGUGGAAAAGGUUCAAAAGAAGGACUAGAUACAGCAGAAGCAGAGAUACCCAGCAGGAAGAACAGCUUCGCGGCUGUCCUGUCCUCGACAUCUACUAAAAUAAAAGUACCAAUCCCUCAGCCCGUCGUCCCUGUGAAGAAAGACAAAGGGCAGAAUUCUUCACGCUUUAAUGCCAGCAGUAAUAGAGAGCUACAAAACUCCCAUCUUUAAAAGAUGUUCCUCCUGCAGAUCAAGAGAAGCUUUUUAUUCAGAAGCUACGCCAGUGUUGUGUCCUCUUUGACUUUGUCUCUGACCCACUGAGUGACCUGAAGUGGAAGGAAGUAAAGCGGGCUGCACUAAGCGAGAUGGUGGAGUAUAUCACCCACAACCGGAACGUGAUCACAGAGCCCAUUUACCCCGAGGCCGUCCACAUGUUUGCAGUUAACAUGUUCCGAACCUUGCCACCUUCCUCCAAUCCUACGGGAGCAGAAUUCGACCCAGAAGAUGAUGAGCCAAAGUUAGAAGCAGCCUGGCCUCAUCUGCAGCUUGUUUAUGAAUUUUUCUUAAGAUUUUUAGAGUCUUCAGAUUUCCAGCCCAAUAUAGCAAAGAAAUAUAUUGAUCAAAAGUUUGUAUUGCAGCUUCUAGAGCUCUUUGACAGCGAGGAUCCUCAGGAGAGAGAUUUUCUAAAAACCACCCUGCACAGAAUCUAUGGGAAGUUCUUAGGCCUGCGCGCUUACAUCAGGAAACAGAUCAAUAAUAUAUUUUAUAGGUUUAUCUAUGAGACAGAGCACCACAAUGGCAUAGCAGAGUUACUGGAGAUCCUGGGGAGUAUAAUUAAUGGAUUUGCCUUACCACUAAAGGAAGAGCACAAGAGUUUCCUGGAAAAGCAGGUCUCCAGAGAGUACUCUGUCCCCUGGACUCAUACAAGAUCUCCAUUUUCUCUCCAGUGA